rnacentral:tRNA from 2 species
GGUAGAAUGGCUGAGAGCUAAGCGGUGGAUUGUAGCCCCAUAGACAGAGGUUAAAUCCCUCUUUUUACCA